CGCACAUUGCGCCCUUUGGUAUUCCGAAGGGCAUGCCUGUUCGAGCGUCAUUUCACCACUCAAGCCUAGCUUGGUCUUGGGCGCCGCGGAUCCCCGCGCGCCUCAAAGUCUUCCGGCUCUGCAGCUCCGUCUCUAAGCGUUGUGACAAACUGUUCGCGGCGAGAGGGAGCGGCGGGGGCCGUUAAACACCCCAUCAAAGGUUGACCUCGGAUCAGGUAGGGAUACCCGCUGAACUUAA
rnacentral:misc_RNA from 1 species